GGUUGCGUUAGACGGUAAAGGGGAAAGGCGAUGAAGGUUUAUGGUGAAGGAGAGGAAAAGAAUGGAAGCCAAUAAUUUUUCAGGAACAGAUCCCAGGAAGCGAAAAGGAUUUUUUCCUUUCUCUUUCCGUUUUUUCUUUUUUCCUUUUUGUUAACGUUGAGAAAGGUGGAGUAGUUAUUAUGAGAGAGAGUCCUCUUUUCUGAAAAGUGUUUGUUUCUUUUUAAGAGGGAGAACCGAGUGGUUAGGAGAGAGACGCGU
rnacentral:lncRNA from 1 species